rnacentral:lncRNA from 1 species
AAUCACAGGCAGUAAGCAUGUGCGAUAAUUAGUACCUGAUAAUUACCACAAGAGCAAAAGUCACAAGCCAAAUGAAACGUAACUCGUAUUUCAUGUGAGGGCCUUAGGCAGUCCACACUGUGAUACAAUUAGAGGUAUAGAAGUUUAUUGGGAUCAACCUCCAUAAAAGAAAUGUGGGAAGUGUCUGAUCAGUGCUGUGGGUCUGACUAGCCUCAGCCAUGUUGAGAGCAAAUGAGACACAUGAGAACCUUCCAUGGGCCCAAGCUCAGUGGUGUGUCUCACUUGGUCACCUCACGUAUACAAUUCUGGGUGUUAAGGAGACUGCAUGAGAGAUGAAGACAGAUGCAGUUGUGAUGGAGAUAAAUGCUACAUGAAGGAAUGCUAGAGAUUGAGGUUGGCACUUCAAAAUCCUAUGUAGAUGCUGCAUCUCCCAGAGUCAGUCCAUGUUGCUCUAGAUAACUAUUAGACCAAGCAAAUGAAGAAUGAACCAAAUUAAUAAAAUAUGAGAUGAAGGAAGGAAUAUCACAUGUCUUACUGCUGCAAUCCAUAAGUACAUAGAACCUACUAAAGUUGAACGAGGAGGAUAUUGAAAACUUAAACAGAACUGUGAGACUGGCAAGAAGACUAAGUGAAAGAUCCCCAAUUACAGACAGAUUUGCCAUCAAGCUUUUAUGAGACC